GGAGCAAUCCCUAGUGGCGAACGGCGGAGUAAGACAUGAACAACGUGCCCUGAAGUCCGGGACAAACGCAGAAAUGCCAUAAAUACCGGAUGUGGCCCCGACCUGGCAUCAGGAUGGGAUUAAACGGUUUUUCGCUUCAGGAGCGGUUCAUGGCCUAUCAGGUAGUUGGUGGGGUAAUGGCCUACCAAGCCGACGACAGGUAGCGGGUCUGAGAGGAUGAUCCGCCCGAGUGGGACUGAGACACGGCCCACACACCUACGGGUGGCAGCAGUUGGGAAUCUUGCACAAUGGGGGAAACCCUGAUGCAGCGACGCCGCGUGGAGGAUGACGGAUCUAGGUCUGUAAACUCCUUUUUCAUGGAAAGACUUAGGACGGUACCAUGAGAAUAAGGACCGGCUAACUACGUGCCAGCAGCCGCGGUAAGACGUAGGGUCCAAGCGUUGUCCGGAUUUACUGGGCGUAAAGAGCGCGUAGGCGGCUUGUUAAGUGUGAAGUGAAAUCUCCAGGGCUCAACCCGGAAACUGCUUCGCAUACUGGCAAGCUUGAGGAAUGCAGAGGUUUGUGGAAUUCCUGGUGUAACGGUGAAAUGUGUUGAUAUCAGGAGGAACACCCAUGGCGAAGGCAGCAAACUGGGCAUUAUCUGACGCUGAGGCGCGAAAGCGUGGGUAGCAAACAGGAUUAGAUACCCUGGUAGUCCACGCCCUAAACGAUGGAUACUAGGCGUAAGAGGUAUCGACCCCUCUUGUGCCGCAGCUAACGCAUUAAGUAUCCCGCCUGGGGAGUACGGCCGCAAGGUUGAAACUCAAAUGAAUUGAC
rnacentral:rRNA from 1 species